rnacentral:rRNA from 1 species
GACGAACGCUGGCGGCGUGCUUAACACAUGCAAGUCGAACGGAGUGGCGAACGGGUGAGUAACACGUGGGUGACCUGCCCUGCACUUCGGGAUAAGCCUGGGAAACUGGGUCUAAUACCGGAUAGUGUGGGAUGGGCCUGCGGCCUAUCAGCUUGUUGGUGGGGUAAUGGCCUACCAAGGCGGCGACGGGUGGCCGGCCUGAGAGGGUGGACGGCCACAUAGGGACUGGGGCGCGGGCAAGAGUCAUACGGGAGGAAGCAGUGGGGAAUAGUGCACAAUGGGCGGAAGCAUGAUGCAGCGACGCCGCGUGGGGGAUGACGGCCUUCGGGUUGUAAACUCCUUUCACCAUAGACGCGGUAGAUGGAGAAGAAGCACCGGCUAACUACGUGCCAGCCGCCGCGGUAAUAC